rnacentral:rRNA from 1 species
GACGAACGCUGGCGGCGUGCCUAAUACAUGCAAGUAGAACGCAGUUGCGAACGGGUGAGUAACGCGUAGGUAACUGCCUCAUAGCGGGGGAUAACUCUUGGAACCGAUAGCUAAUACCGCAUACUGUGAGAUGGACCUGCGUUGUAUUAUGGAGUUGGGGAGGUAAAGGCUCACCAAGGCGACGAUACAUAGCCGACCUGAGAGGGUGGUCGGCCACACUGGGACUGGGACACGGCCCAGACUCCUACGGGAGGCAGCAGUAGGGAAUCUUUGGCAAUGGACGGAAGUCCGACCGAGCAACGGCGGGUGCGUGAAGAAGGUUCUCGGAGCGGAAAGCUCCGUGGUUAGAGAAGCGUUAACUACCCAGAAAGGGACGGCUAACUACGUGCCAGCAGCCGCGGUAAUUC